GACGAACGCUGGCGGCGUGCUUAACACAUGCAAGUCGAACGAAGUGGCGAACGGGUGAGUAAUACGUGGGUAACCUGCCCUCCUUUUUGGGAUAAGCCUUGGAAACGGGGUCUAAUACCGAAUAAAGGGGGAUGGGCUCGCGGCCUAUCAGCUUGUUGGUGGGGUGAUGGCCUACCAAGGCGGUGACGGGUAGCCGGCCUGAGAGGGUGACCAGCCGCAUUGAGACUGAGAUACGACCCAGACUCCUACAGGAGGCAGGAGUGGGGGGUAUUGCACAGUGGGCGAAAGCCUGAUGCAGCGACGCCGCGUAGGGGGUGAAGGCUUUCGGGUUGUAAACCUCUUUUAUAUAAGAAUAUGUAUUAUAUGAAUAAGGAUCGGCUAACUCCGUGCCAGCAGCCGCGGUAAUAC
rnacentral:rRNA from 1 species